rnacentral:rRNA from 1 species
UACGUAGGGCGCAAGCGUUUGUCCGGAAUUAUUGGGCGUAAAGAGCUCGUAGGCGGCUUGUCACGUCGAUUGUGAAAGCCCGAGGCUUAACCUCGGGUCUGCAGUCGAUACGGGCUAGCUAGAGUGUGGUAGGGGAGAUCGGAAUUCCUGGUGUAGCGGUGAAAUGCGCAGAUAUCAGGAGGAACACCGGUGGCGAAGGCGGAUCUCUGGAACGGUACUGACGCUGAGACGCGAAAGCGUGGGGAGCGAACAGG